UGCAUAUCCAAUAAGCGGAGGAAAAGAAACCAACUGGGAUUACCUUAGUAACGGCGAGUGAAGCGGUAAAAGCUCAAAUUUGAAAUCUGGUACUUUCAGUGCCCGAGUUGUAAUUUGUAGAAUUUGUCUUUGAUUAGGUCCUUGUCUAUGUUCCUUGGAACAGGACGUCAUAGAGGGUGAGAAUCCCGUUUGGCGAGGAUACCUUUUCUCUGUAAGACUUUUUCGAAGAGUCGAGUUGUUUGGGAAUGCAGCUCAAAGUGGGUGGUAAAUUCCAUCUAAAGCUAAAUAUUGGCGAGAGACCGAUAGCGAACAAGUACAGUGAUGGAAAGAUGAAAAGAACUUUGAAAAGAGAGUGAAAAAGUACGUGAAAUUGUUGAAAGGGAAGGGCAUUUGAUCAGACAUGGUGUUUUUUUAAUGUGCAAGUCUCUCGUGGACAUGUGCCUCUGGAAAUUAACACUGGGCCAACAUCAGUUCUGGCGGCAGGAUAAAUCAUUAAGAAUGUAGCUACCUCGGUAGUGUUAUAGCUUUUUGGAAUACUGCCAGCUGGGAUUGAGGACUGCGCUUCGGCAAAGGAUGUUGGCAUAAUGGUUAAAUGCCGCCCGUCUU
rnacentral:rRNA from 2 species